GAUGAACGCUGGCGGCGUGCCUAAUACAUGCAAGUCGAGCGAACAGAUGAGGAGCUUGCUCCUUUGACGUUAGCGGCGGACGGGUGAGUAACACGUGGAUAACCUACCUAUAAGACUGUGAUAACUUCGGGAAACCGGAGCUAAUACCGGAUAACAUAUUGAACCGCAUGGUUCAAUAGUGAAAGGCGGCUUUGCUGUCACUUAUAGAUGGAUCCGCGCCGUAUUAGCUAGUUGGUAAGGUAACGGCUUACCAAGGCAACGAUACGUAGCGGACCUGGGAGGGUGAUCGGCCACACUGGAACUGCGACACGGUCCAGACUCCUACGGGAGGCAGCAGUAGGGAAUCUUCCGCAAUGGGCGAAAGCCUGACGGAGCAACGCCGCGUGAGUGAUGAAGGUCUUCGGAUCGUAAAACUCUGUUAUCAGGGAAGAACAAAUGUGUAAGUAACUGUGCACAUCUUGACGGUACCUGAUCAGAAAGCCACGGCUAACUACGUGCCAGCCGCCGCCGUAA
rnacentral:rRNA from 1 species